rnacentral:rRNA from 1 species
CAGCAGCCCGGGAAUACGUAGGUGGCUAGCGUUGUCCGGAAUUAUUGGGCGUAAAGGGCUCGCAGGCGGUUUCUUAAGUCUGAUGUGAAAGCCCCCGGCUCAACCGGGGAGGGUCAUUGGAAACUGGGAAACUUGAGUGCAGAAGAGGAGAGUGGAAUUCCACGUGUAGCGGUGAAAUGCGUAGAGAUGUGGAGGAACACCAGUGGCGAAGGCGACUCUCUGGUCUGUAACUGACGCUGAGGAGCGAAAGCGUGGGGAGCGAACAGGAUUAGAUACCCCGGUAGUCCCUGUCUCUUAUACA